UACGGAGGGUGCAAGCGUUGCUCGGAAUUAUUGGGCGUAAAGGGUAGGUAGGUGGUCUCAUUUGUCAGGGGUGAAAGCCUUGGGCUUAACUCAAGAAGUGCCCCUGAAACGGUGAGACUAGAGUGCUGGAGAGGGUCGUGGAAUUCCCGGUGUAGCGGUGAAAUGCGUAGAGAUCGGGAGGAACACCAGAGGCGAAGGCGGCGACCUGGACAGUUACUGACACUCAACUACGAAAGCGUGGGGAGCAAACAGGAUUAGAUACCCUGGUAGUCCACGCUGUAAACGAUGGGUACUAGGCUUGGUGGGUCUUGACCCCUGCUGAGCCGGCGCUAACGCAAUAAGUACCCCGCCUGGGAAGUACGGUCGCAAGACUAAA
rnacentral:rRNA from 1 species